ensembl:lncRNA
GCAGAUGUUUAAAAUGGUAUGUCAGUUGAAGAGAACGAUUGUAAUGACAGACAGACUGAAAGAACAAAUGGAAUCUAAUGGUAUUAACCUUAUAACUAUAGGUAGCCUAAUACAUUUUAUGUACACCAUGCUUCCAAAGUUCAAAUACACUUUGCAUUCAGUAGAAUAAAAAUUAUAAACAAUUUCCAGUGCGUAAUGCUAUAUUUUUCAAAAGUUAUAUAAUGCUAUAAUGGUUGCUAAACGCCAGGUUUUAGCCAGUUUAUAAUAGCAUAAACCUAUUCUGUGGUUUCCAUUAAGAUUUUCAUUGCCUUUUCUCAUUGGCAAAGCAAACGCUUUUGGCGUCUAAAUUGAAUAUUCAGUUCUAAUUGAGGGAUUAGGGAUACUUUUUUUUCACCCUAGUGCUACUCCUUCGGAAAAGUUUUCUGAUUCUGAAAAUAGGCACGAGGGCUAGUCUGGAAUUCUUGGAUUACAUCAUCCUUUAUGAUGUCAUCAUCAUUGGGUGACUUUGGCACGUUACCGAAUGGGUGAAGUCAGGCAGAAUUUCUGCUCUCGCUGCCCAGUGCAAAUCAUUUAAAACAAAGCCUCAGGGUCACUGUAUCCGUACGGAUAACUGUUAACCCCAUCCACUCUCCUUUCCUUUCAUUACUUGUCUUUUCAAGGGGACAGUCGAGAGAAGGUGACGUCUUCGUUAAAAAAAGGGAAUGGAAGCCUGUGUUUUUCUCUUGGGGGACAUCAUAAUGAUUUGAUUUACUGGCGGUCAUUUGAUCAACAGCGUACGCUCCACUCCCUAAACACACACUCCUCCUCGAGAAACUAUCAGCGGCAGACGCACGCAAGAAGGUGCAGGCUGCCGGACAUCUCGGGGCUGGAAUCACAUUCAUUCUCAUUAGACUGCGAUAGUGUCAGCUGGAGGCAGGGGAGGCACGAGCCAGGGUCAUAAAAACUACCUCACUACCUUUUCCCGCCAUUACCUCAUACAGAUCACAUCAUACCCAGUCAGCCAUUCUCCAGUCUACGCCGAAGCUGCACACUGGCGUAUGUUUUUAAUGUGCAUCGCUUUUCUGCCGGUCACUUUUACCAGCUUCUUGUCAAACUACCUUCGUAAACAGUGAAGGAAAUGGCCCGUCGUCAGCCUUCAAGCAUAAGCAGUUUUCAACAGGUUUUGAGGUUGGCGACAGUGGAGGUCAAUAGAGAUGGCUCCAUGAGAUGAACUGGCUCGCUCCCCAGAGACAUGCGUUCUCAGUGAGGCCCAGUGAUAGAUGAAGUGUGUGAGGGAUCGGUUCGGGCCCGUGUUCAAUCAAACUUCAUGGCUUACAUUACAGUGGAUGAUGCAUGGGCACUUCUUUGGACCUGUUUUAUGUUCUGUAGGCCCAGGAGCGUGGCAUUGUUUGCACUGCAACACUUGAGAGUCUCUGGCCUCUAAACAGAUUCCGAGUCCUCACAAUUACCCCUGUGGGAGUAGGACAUGCUGUAUGUUUAGUCUACAGUAUGACCAAAACAGACAACGAGACAACAAGC